UCUAAACACAACUGAAAACAAAUGAGAGUGAUGUUGAAGAAGGAGUUGGGUUUCAUGGUGCUGUUGAUAAGUUGGAUCUACCAGAUUAUUCUCUCCUAAUGGAUAUAGAUCAUGGAAAGUUUGAUGUUGAUGUCAAUACCCAUUUCAAAGGGAGGCAGGAAUAUCGUGCAUCCUAUUUAAGAGAUACAAUAGGAAGACAAUUGUCUUCACCUUAGAGAAACUCUCCUGCACUAUAGCAAAUGGUUAUGUGAUUUGGAUUUGUAAUUGUGGAGAUUAUACCACUUCUUAUUAGUACUUUUAUGUAUAUACAAGCCAGGUUAUGGUGAAAAAAUAUUUAGUUAUAUAGGUCCUAAUAUGUAACACGGGUUCCUUUGUUUAUAUUGUAAGCUUUUUGGUUGUGUAUAAAAUUUGGCCUUUCAAAAAAAA